UAUAAAAGGGCAGCUCUCUGACCAGCUGGGCUUGCUUCUGAAUCUCUCUGACCUUUGGGUUUAUAAGUUUCUACGUGUGAACAGAGUGUUUGUGGUGGGAGGCUGGACAGACAAACCCACAGCGUUGUGCCCUGCACUGCUUGAGUCCAGUCACCUCUCUGCUAGGCCAGUGAGACUACCCUCACCUCCACAUGCUAUCCCUCUUCUGGACCAAAUCACGGGACCUGCCCGGGUGUGGCAGCAUGUGUGGAGUUUUGGAGCGAGUGCGGCUGAAGAGGAGUGCGUGUGUGCGGAGGAGCUGUGGCGGUGACUGUGUGGAAGAGGAAGCGUGUGUGUGGAUUCCCCCCCCUUCUCUCCCUGGAGCCCUGGACCCCCCCUCCCAAAC
ensembl:lncRNA